AGAGUUUGAUCCUGGCUCAGAUUGAACGCUGGCGGCAUGCCUUACACAUGCAAGUCGAACGGCAGCGGGGGUAGCUUGCUACCUGCCGGCGAGUGGCGAACGGGUGAGUAAUACAUCGGAACGUGCCCUGUAGUGGGGGAUAACUAGUCGAAAGACUAGCUAAUACCGCAUACGACCUGAGGGUGAAAGUGGGGGACCGCAAGGCCUCAUGCUAUAGGAGCGGCCGAUGUCUGAUUAGCUAGUUGGUGGGGUAAAGGCCCACCAAGGCGACGAUCAGUAGCUGGUCUGAGAGGACGAUCAGCCACACUGGGACUGAGACACGGCCCAGACUCCUACGGGAGGCAGCAGUGGGGAAUUUUGGACAAUGGGGGCAACCCUGAUCCAGCAAUGCCGCGUGUGUGAAGAAGGCCUUCGGGUUGUAAAGCACUUUUGUCCGGAAAGAAAUCGCACUGGUUAAUACCUGGUGUGGAUGACGGUACCGGAAGAAUAAGGACCGGCUAACUACGUGCCAGCAGCCGCGGUAAUACGUAGGGUCCAAGCGUUAAUCGGAAUUACUGGGCGUAAAGCGUGCGCAGGCGGUUGUGCAAGACCGAUGUGAAAUCCCCGGGCUUAACCUGGGAAUUGCAUUGGUGACUGCACGGCUAGAGUGUGUCAGAGGGAGGUAGAAUUCCACGUGUAGCAGUGAAAUGCGUAGAGAUGUGGAGGAAUACCGAUGGCGAAGGCAGCCUCCUGGGAUAACACUGACGCUCAUGCACGAAAGCGUGGGGAGCAAACAGGAUUAGAUACCCUGGUAGUCCACGCCCUAAACGAUGUCAACUAGUUGUUGGGGAUUCAUUUCCUUAGUAACGUAGCUAACGCGUGAAGUUGACCGCCUGGGGAGUACGGUCGCAAGAUUAAAACUCAAAGGAAUUGACGGGGACCCGC
rnacentral:rRNA from 1 species